UCUGGCUCUCGGGCCGAGUUGUAAUUUGUAGAGGAUGCUUUUGGCGCGGCGCCUUCUGAGUUCCCUGGAACGGGACGCCAUAGAGGGUGAGAGCCCCGUAGAGUUGGACGCCUAGCCUCUGUAAAGCUCCUUCGACGAGUCGAGUAGUUUGGGAAUGCUGCUCAAAAUGGGAGGUAAAUUUCUUCUAAAGCUAAAUACCGGCUGGAGACCGAUAGCGCACAAGUAGAGUGAUCGAAAGAUGAAAAGCACUUUGAAAAGAGGGUUAAACAGCACGUGAAAUUGUUGAAAGGGAAGCGCUUGUGACCAGACUUGUGCCUUGCCAAUCAUCCGGCGUUCUCGCCGGUGCACUUGGCUUGGCCCAGGCCAGCAUCAGUUUUCUCAGGGGGAGAAAAGCGCCGGGAACGUAGCUCCCUCGGGAGUGUUAUAGCCCGGCGCACAAUACCUCUGGGGGGACUGAGGACCGCGCAUUGCAAGGAUGCUGGCGUAAUGGUCAUCAGCGACCCGUCUU
rnacentral:rRNA from 2 species